rnacentral:ncRNA from 1 species
GUUUCAGGGAAGGUGAAAAUCCUUACUGGCGGUAGCAAGAUAAUCUUGAAGCCCGCGAGCGGAGUAAAAUCUGCAGAUUCGGUCAAAUUCCGAAGCCAACGGUCAAAGUCCGGAUGGAAGAAA